GAAUAUAAAUCGUACUGUUCACGCAGUAUGUGGGGUGGUGACUUCGGUCCCGCUCAUUCAUAUCCAUAACACCUGUGCACUGUUGGAUGCUUGCAUCCACUUUUAUACUAAACAUUAUUGUAACAAAUGUAGUCUUAUUAUAACUGAUAAAACUUUUAACAACGGAUCUCUUGGCUCU
rnacentral:misc_RNA from 1 species